rnacentral:rRNA from 1 species
GAGUUUGAUCCUGGCUCAGGAUGAACGCUGACAGAAUGCUUAACACAUGCAAGUCGAUGGGGAAGUGGUGCUUGCACCAUGGCAACCAUGGCGGACGGGUGAGUAACGCGUAAGGGACUUACCUGCAGGACCGGGAUAACAGGGGGAAACUCCUGACAAGACCGGAUAAUGUCAUGGAGCUGCAUGGCUUUAUGAUGAAAGGAGACGCCUGCGGAGAGCCUUGCGUCCUAUUAGCUAGUUGGUGAGGUAAGGGCUCACCAAGGCGAAGAUAGGUAGCCGGCCUGAGAGGGUGGACGGCCACAAGGGGACUGAGAUACGGCCCUUACUCCUACGGGAGGCAGCAGUGGGGAAUAUUGGACAAUGGGGGCAACCCUGAUCCAGCAAUUCUGUGUGCACGAAGAAGGUUUUCGGAUUGUAAAGUGCUUUCAGCAGGGAAGAAGGAAGUGACGGUACCUGCAGAAGAAGCGACGGCUAAAUACGUGCCAGCAGCCGCGGUAAUACGUAUGUCACAAGCGUUAUCCGGAUUUAUUGGGCGUAAAGCGCGUCUAGGUGGUUAUAUAAGUCUGAUGUGAAAAUGCAGGGCUCAACUCUGUAUUGCGUUGGAAACUGUGUAACUAGAGUACUGGAGAGGUAAGCGGAACUACAAGUGUAGAGGUGAAAUUCGUAGAUAUUUGUAGGAAUGCCGAUGGGGAAGCCAGCUUACUGGACAGAUACUGACGCUGAAGCGCGAAAGCGUGGGUAGCAAACAGGAUUAGAUACCCUGGUAGUCCACGCC